rnacentral:tRNA from 1 species
CGUCCGGAGGCCCUGGCGGACGACCUCGUGGUCAUCGAGGAGGAAGACACGGAUCGUCAUGCCCGUUGUUCUACACCACCCGGGCAG